rnacentral:ncRNA from 1 species
UGGCCUUUUCAUUAACCCGCAGUAGACUUAUACAUGCAAGCAUCCCCGAUCCUGUGAGAAUGCCCUCCAUGUCAGACAGACCUAAAGGAGUAGGUAUCAAGCUCACUAUUAAGUAGCUCAAGACACCUUGCCCAACCACACCCCCACGGGAUACAGCAGUAAUUAAAAUUAAGCAAUGAACGAAAGUUUGACUAAGUCAUACGCACCAGUUAAGGGUUGGUAAAUUUCGUGCCAGCCACCGCGGUCAUACGAUUAACCCUAGUUAAUGAAGUACGGUGUAAAGCGUGAUUAAGGUACUCACAAAAUAAGACUAAGGUUAGACUAAGCUGUAAAAAGCCCUGGACAUAACAAAAAUAACCUACGAAAGUAAUCUUAAACGCCUGAACUCACGAUAGCUAAGACCCAAACUGGGAUUAGAUACCCCACUAUGCUUAGCCCUAAACAUAAAUAUUCAACAAACAAGAAUAUCCACCAGAGUACUACUAGCAAUAGCCUAAAACUCAAAGGACUUGGCGGUGCCUUACAUCCCUCUAGAGGAGCCUGUUCUAUAAUCGAUAAACCCCGAUAUACCUCACCACCUUUAGCAGCAUCAGCCUAUAUACCGCCAUCUUCAGCAAACCCUAACAAGGCCUUAAAGUAAGCACAAGAGCACUACAUAAAAACGUUAGGUCAAGGUGUAGCCUAUAAGGCGGGAAGAAAUGGGCUACAUUUUCUAAACCUAGAACAAUUACGAUAACUUUUAUGAAACUAAAAGCCCAAGGCGGAUUUAGUAGUAAGCCAGGAAUAGAGAGCCUGACUGAAUUGGGCAAUAAGGCA